rnacentral:rRNA from 1 species
CCUACGUGCGACAGCAGUGAGGAAUAUUGGUCAAUGGGCGCGAGCCUGAACCAGCCAAGUAGCGUGAAGGAUGACUGCCCUACGGGUUGUAAACUUCUUUUAUAAAGGAAUAAAGUGAGGCACGUGUGCCUUUUUGUAUGUACUUUAUGAAUAAGGAUCGGCUAACUCCGUGCCAGCAGCCGCGGUAAUACGGAGGAUCCGAGCGUUAUCCGGAUUUAUUGGGUUUAAAGGGAGCGUAGAUGGGUUGUUAAGUCAGUUGUGAAAGUUUGCGGCUCAACCGUAAAAUUGCAAUUGAUACUGGCAGUCUUGAGUACAGUUGAGGUAGGCGGAAUUCGUGGUGUAGCGGUGAAAUGCUUAGAUAUCACGAAGAACUCCGAUUGCGAAGGCAGCUUACUAAACUGCCACUGACAUUGAUGCUCGAAAGUGUGGGUAUCAAACAGGAUUAGAUACCCCAGUAGUC